UCCAGACAUAUUCCUGUUCCAGACAUAUUCCUGUUCCAGCUGGAACAGGAAUAUGGUGGAACAGGAAUAUGUCUGGAACAGGAAUAUGUCUGG
rnacentral:pre_miRNA from 1 species